UACGUAGGUGGCGAGCGUUGUCCGGAUUUACUGGGCGUAAAGGGAGCGUAGGCGGGCUUUUAAGUGAGAUGUGAAAUACUCGGGCUCAACUUGAGUGCUGCAUUUCAAACUGGAAGUCUAGAGUGCAGGAGAGGAGAAUGGAAUUCCUAGUGUAGCGGUGAAAUGCGUAGAGAUUAGGAGGAACACCAGUGGCGAAGGCGGCCUGCUGGACUGCAACUGACGUUGAGGCUCGAAGGCGUGGGGAGCAAACAGG
rnacentral:rRNA from 1 species